rnacentral:rRNA from 1 species
AGGAAACUCUGGUGGAGGCCCGCAGCGGUUCUGACGUGCARAUCGAUCGUGUCACUUGGGUAUAGGGGCGAAAGACUAAUCGAACCGUCUAGUAGCUGGUUCCCUCCGAAGUUUCCCUCAGGAUAGCUGGAGCCCGUUGUAGUGUCAGUUUCGUCGGGUAAAGCGAAUGAUUAGAGGUAUCGGGACCGAAAGGGUCUCGACCUAUUCUCAAACUUUGAAUCGGCGAGUGAGACGGUCGCCUUGCCUGUCGGAAGGCGUCCGGUCAGUUGUCGGAAUGUGGUGGCUCCACGUGGGCCGUUUUUGGUAAGCAGAACCGGCGAUGCGGGAUGAACCGAAAGUCGGGCUAAGGCGCCUGAGUCGACGCUGAACAGAUACCAGGAAAGGUGUUGGUUGAUCCAGACAGCAGGACGGUGGCCAUGGAAGUCGGAACCCGCCAAGGAGUGUGUAACAACUCACCUGCCGAAUCAACUAGCCCUGAAAAAGGAUGGCGCUCAAGCGUCGCGCCUAGUUUCCCGACGUCCGGCGGCAGUGUGUUUCGUUUGCCCNGGCAGUAGGAGGGCGCGGAGGUCCCGCGAUUANCGACCNUGAGCGGUGCAGCCCGCGGCUCGAGCGCGGGUGGAGCGGCCUCCGGUGCUGAUCUUGGUGGUAGUAGCAAGUAUUCAAGGGAGGUCCUUGAAGACCGAAGUGGAGAANGGUUCCGUGUGAACAGCAGUUGGACACGGGUGAGUCGAUCCUGAGGGAAGGGGUAGUCCCCCCGUUGGCCCGACGGGGCGUCCGUCUCUCGGCGCCGUUCGGCUCGUCCGUCCGGUCCGGGUACACGGCGUAGGCGCCGGGCCCCGAAAGGGAAUCGGGUUAACAUUCCCGAACGGGAGCGCGCAGUCGGCCACGGCCGGCGGCGGCGACGCAACCGAACUCGGAGACGCCGGCGGGAGCCCCGGGAAGAGUUGUCUUUUCUUCUCGACGGUCCUGUCCCCUGGAAUCGGGUUGGCCGGAGAAAGGGUCCRCGGUUCCGGCAUAGCGCCACACUUGAGGUGGCGUCCGGUGCGCUCCCGAAGGUCCUUGAAAAUCCGAGCGAGGG